CAAUAGCGUAUAUUAAAGUUGUUGCAGUUAAAAAGCUCGUAGUUGGAUUUCUGGUGGGAGCGGUCGGUGCGGUCCUCAGGAUUGCUACUCGUACCGUCUCUCGCCAUCCUUGGGUCGAUCCUGUCUGGCAUUAAGUUGUCGGGCAGGGGAUGCCCAUCGUUUACUGUGAAAAAUUAGAGUGUUCAAAGCAGGCUUAUGCCGUUGAAUAUAUUAGCAUGGAAUAAUAAGAUAGGACUUUGGUACUAUUUUGUUGGUUUGCGCACCAAAGUAAUGAUUAAUAGGGACAGUUGGGGGUAUUCGUAUUCCGUUGUCAGAGGUGAAAUUCUUGGAUUUCCGGAAGACGAACUACUGCGAAAGCAUUUACCAAGGAUGUUUUCAUUAAUCAAGAACGAAAGUUAGGGGAUCGAAGACGAUCAGAUACCAU
rnacentral:rRNA from 1 species